CCUACGGGUGACAGCAGUGAGGAAUAUUGGUCAAUGGGCGCAAGCCUGAACCAGCCAAGUAGCGUGAAGGAUGAAGGACCUACGGUUUGUAAACUUCUUUUAUAGGGGAAUAAAGGUAUGCACGUGUGCCUUUUUGUAUGUACUUUAUGAAUAAGGAUCGGCUAACUCCGUGCCAGCAGCCGCGGUAAUACGGAGGAUGCGAGCGUUAUCCGGAUUUAUUGGGUUUAAAGGGAGCGUAGAUGGGUUGUUAAGUCAGUUGUGAAAGUUUGUGGCUCAACCGUAAAAUUGCAAUUGAUACUGGCAGUCUUGAGUAUAGUUGAGGUAGGCGGAAUUCGUGGUGUAGCGGUGAAAUGCUUAGAUAUCACGAAGAACUCCGAUUGCGAAGGCAGCUUACUAAACUAACACUGACACUGAUGCUCGAAAGCGUGGGUAUCAAACAGGAUUAGAUACCCGUGUAGUC
rnacentral:rRNA from 1 species